UACAGAGGGGGCAAGCGUUGUUCGGAAUUACUGGGCGUAAAGGGCGCGUAGGCGGCCUUCUAAGUCGAACGUGAAAUCCCCGGGCUCAACCCGGGAACUGCGUCCGAUACUGGAAGGCUUGAAUCCGGGAGAGGGAUGCGGAAUUCCAGGUGUAGCGGUGAAAUGCGUAGAUAUCAGGAAGAACACCCGUGGCGAAGGCGGCUCUCUGGGACGGUACUGACGCUGAGACGCGAAAGCGUGGGGAGCGAACAGG
rnacentral:rRNA from 1 species